UAUUACUAACAAGCAGAAUGUUUUCUUUUUUGUCAAAAUAGAUUCCACACGGCGUAUCCAAUCCAUCUGAUUCAGUAAGAAGUUCUCUAUGAUGUUUACCAUCAUCAGAUACAACUAUUACAGAGGUUGUGUCUUCUCAUCAGUCACAUAGACAUUCCCCUCAUUAUCUGUUGUGUACACCACGUAAAUCUUGAAAUUCAUCCAUUUUAAAUUUCCACAUUACUUUUCCAUCUAACGAGCAGCAGUAUAUUGAUGUUCUGUCUGUUACAGACCAACCUGUCUCUGUCUACUGUAAUGUCGAUGAUACGGUCUGUAGGUAACGGUAUAGUACGUAUUACUUUACCUGUCAGGUCCAUCACAUGUAUUAUACUCCCACCAAUAACAACGUACAGGUUAUUAUCAUUAUAUGAUAUUCCCCAGCAGGAUUUUUGAUUGGUUUUGAUUCUACUGGUGAUAGAACGUGUAGAUAUAUUUAUUAUCAGUAUGGUUAUGUCAUACUUACAGGUUACUGCUACAGUGUUACUAUCUAUCUCUGUU
rnacentral:lncRNA from 1 species